rnacentral:tRNA from 1 species
GGGGCUGUAGCUCAGUUGGUUAGAGCAGCGGACUUUUAAUCCGUAGGUCCUGGGUUCGAGUCCCAGCAGCCCCA